rnacentral:tRNA from 1 species
GCGGGUGUAGCUCAGUUGGUAGAGCGCUAGCCUUCCAAGCUAGCCGUCGUCGGUUCGAACCCGUCCACCCGCU